CCCUACUUCCGGUCCCGCCCUUCUUUGCGAGAGGAGGGCUCAAUUAGGUCAGGACUUCCGGUCUUCCUUUGUAAAAGGGGCGGGUUUCCUAGGGUACGGGAAGGUUUGAGUUUCGACUGUUUGCAUUCGGUUCGUCUUCGCGGUUGCAGCUGCAGCUGUUCCUGGCUACUCGGACUUGAAGAGAGACCGCCAAACCUCCUCCCUGUAGCCUUAACUCCUCUCGGUUAUGACUUUUCUUUCAUCGGGAAACAUCACUUGCUGGUAACUUGUCAAAUUGAAGAAAUACUCCUCGAGAAGCGUCGAAGGCAGGAACACAAGCUGCUACUCCGAGUAUUUUGGCAAACUAAAGCACAAGGGCCAUUGACUGGCCUCGUUUCCACGACUUUAAAGCUCAGAACUGCUUGCUGUGGGGCUUAGGUUGGAUCCCUCGUCAGUGAACUGAGAUCUUGCAUGCCUCGAAGCUCGGCCAAAAAAAAGACAAAAGCAAGUUGAUCCUGAGUGAAUACUACACCUGAGAAGUUUACUGGUAGGAAACAGAGGUAAGCUGGGGAAAGUGGUAUCUGUGAAAAGUUACUAUUUUUUUUUUUGGUCAGGUGAAACUCGAUCACCUGGGUAACAGAUGGAGAUAAUGUCCUAGUAGGGGAUGCAGUUAGUUUUAGAAAGAAUUAUAAAAUUUAUUGAUCUCCUGCAAAGCAGCAUUCCCACUACUGGCACUGUUACAUAUGUUGUCUCAUUUAAUCCUCACAGCAGUCCUGUUACUACCCCCAUUUUACAAAUAAGGAAACAACCAACCUGAAGUUUAUAGCUAGGAACUGGUAGAGUGUGAAUGGAACCCAACUCUUUCAUUCCCCUUCCAUCACACCUAUGUGGAAAGCAUAGGUGAAAAUACAGAGACAUUUUAGAGGUAAAGAAGAGGAAAUUGAAUUCAGUGAAUAAGAUGAAGUAAUUCACUAGGUGAUUAGUUAGCUUUCUGAGUUGUGACAUGGAGCUACUUCCAUAAUGCCAGGUUAGUGGCAGGAAUCCAGGUGUUAUUUUCAAGUGGGCCAAAUAGUUACUUUUGGCCUGCCUUUUACAUGUACUACAAAUGGUUUGCUACAUUUUUCUUUUUCUUUUUUAAAAAUAUUUAUUUAUUUAUUUGACUGCCGCAGGUCUUAUUUGCAGCAUGUGGGAUCUGGUUUCCUGACCAGGGAUCAAACCCGGGACCCCUGCAUUGAGAACAUGGAGUCUUAGCCACUGGAGCACCAGGGAAGCCUCUGAUUUGCUGUAUUAUUUUUGCAAAGAUGGAAUUUGAUUGUUAUUUGAAGUGAGAUCCUGAGCAUCCAAUUUUCAGAAGUUAAACUUCAGAAGUAAAGCUACUAAAAUAAGGGCAGUUAUAACUUGGUGGGCUGUCUUCCCCCUCCCAAUUAUCUUCCCACAC
rnacentral:lncRNA from 1 species